UUGAUCCCUGGCUCAGGACGAACGCCUGGCGGCGUGCCUAAUACAUGCAAGUCGAGCGGAAUGAUGAAGAAGCUUGCUUCUUCUGAUUUAGCGGCGGACGGGUGAGUAACACGUGGGCAACCUACCUUGUAGAUUGGGAUAACUCCGGGAAACCGGGGCUAAUACCGAAUAAUCCAUUUUGCUUCAUGGCAAGAUGUUGAAAGGCGGCUUCGGCUGUCACUACGAGAUGGGCCCGCGGCGUAUUAGCUAGUUGGUAGGGUAAUGGCCUACCAAGGCGACGAUACGUAGCCGACCUGAGAGGGUGAUCGGCCACACUGGGACUGAGACACGGCCCAGACUCCUACGGGAGGCAGCAGUAGGGAAUCUUCCACAAUGGACGAAAGUCUGAUGGAGCAACGCCGCGUGAGUGAAGAAGGUUUUCGGAUCGUAAAACUCUGUUGUAAGGGAAGAACACGUACGAGAGUAACUGCUCGUACCUUGACCGGUACCUUAUUAGAAAGCCA
rnacentral:rRNA from 1 species